CAGCCGCCGCGGUAAAACGAAGGGUGCAAGCGUUACUCGGAAUUACUGGGCGUAAAGCGUGCGUAGGUGGUGGUUUAAGUCCGUUGUGAAAGCCCUGGGCUCAACCUGGGAAUUGCAGUGGAUACUGGGUCACUAGAGUGUGGUAGAGGAUAGUGGAAUUUCCGGUGUAGCAGUGAAAUGCGUAGAGAUCGGAAGGAACAUCUGUGGCGAAGGCGACUAUCUGGGCCAACACUGACACUGAGGCACAAAAGCGUGGGGAGCAAACAGGAUUAGAUACCCCCGUAGUCCCUGUCUCUUAUAC
rnacentral:rRNA from 1 species